GACGAACGCUGGCGGCGCGCCUAACACAUGCAAGUCGAACGGAGCGCGCCGAGCGGAAGCCUUCGGGUGGAAGCAUGGCAUUGCUUAGUGGCGAACGGGUGAGUAACACGUGAGCAACCUGCCUUAAAGUGGGGGACAACAUUUGGAAACGAAUGCUAAUACCGCAUAAGACCACGGAGUCGCAUGGCUCUGAGGCCAAAGGAGCAAUCCGCUUUAAGAUGGGCUCGCGUCCGAUUAGGUAGUUGGUGGGGUAAUGGCUCACCAAGCCAACGAUCGGUAGCCGGACUGAGAGGUUGAUCGGCCACAUUGGGACUGGGACACGGCCCAGACUCCUACGGGAGGCAGCAGUGGGGAAUAUUGCACAAUGGGGGAAACCCUGAUGCAGCGACGCCGCGUGAGCGAAGAAGUAUUUCGGUAUGUAAAGCUCUAUCAGCAGGGAAGAAAAUGACGGUACCUGACUAAGAAGCCCCGGCUAACUACGUGCCAGCCGCCGCCGUAACAC
rnacentral:rRNA from 1 species